GUGAGGAAUAUUGGACAAUGGGCGCAAGCCUGAUCCAGCCAUGCCGCGUGCAGGAAGACGCAUCUAUGGUGUGUAAACUGCUUUUGUACGGGAAGAAACACUCCCUCGUGAGGGAGCUUGACGGUACCGUAAGAAUAAGGAUCGGCUAACUCCGUGCCAGCAGCCGCGGUAAUACGGAGGAUCCAAGCGUUAUCCGGAAUCAUUGGGUUGAAAGGGUCCGUAGGCGGUCUAAUAAGUCAGUGGUGAAAGCCCAUCGCUCAACGAUGGAACGGCCAUUGAUACUGUUAGACUUGAAUUACAAGGAAGUAACUAGAAUAUGUAGUGUAGCGGUGAAAUGCUUAGAUAUUACAUGGAAUACCAAUUGCGAAGGCAGGUUACUACUUGUGGAUUGACGCUGAUGGACGAAAGCGUGGGGAGCGAACAGGAUUAGAUACCCGUGUAGUCC
rnacentral:rRNA from 1 species